GCCGCCGGUAGCUCAGAUAGCAGAGCAGUGGGACGGUACUACACGGUCCCAGGUUCAAAUCCUGGCCGAGGCU